rnacentral:lncRNA from 1 species
GCGAGUCAUAUUUUUUUAGUGGAUUUACGUGGGAAUCAGUAGUCAUAGGCUAUAGUUUUGGACUAGUUGUUGGAACUGUCAUGUGGAGUCUCAUGUUUAAAUAUCGUAAGCCAAAAUGGUUUGUGGAAUUUUUUGAUGGACUCAUGCCUCACAAAAGAAGAAGGCCAAAGAAGAGAGCUCAGAGACGACGGUCUUAAUGGAAGAUUGAGAGGGCAACAUUGUCUUUGUUUGAUUUUGUGGACUAAUUAGUGAACUUUUCUGGUUCUGUUUUUGUCUUUUCAAUUUUCUGUUUGUUGUUUGUAUAUGUUUGAUAGAAACAUAAUUAUAUGUGUGUUAUUCAAGUUAUGUUAGUUUCUGUUUCAAGUUGAUAGAAGCGAUCUACACAGCCACUCAUUAGUUAUGUUAAUCAGACUCUUCAAAAAUGUCAAUGGCUACGUAUUGAAUUCUUCACAAGUAGUGCAUUUUUUAUGAAACCAACACAAAUAUAAUAUCAUUUUUAUUUUAGUAGAGUCGGAGCAACAUAGCUCAUCAGCAUAACAAAAUAGGAAAAAGUAAAGCAGUAAGCAAAUUGAUCAGUUUGGUUUAUGAUUGAAAUCACUUGCUAUUAGAAAGUUUAUAUUUUUGAAAAUUUAUGUAGAAGAGUACUCAAAACUACAGAAUUGGCUAAUAAUUUUGUGGUUCUGCAUCUUUAGAAUCAUAAAUCAGCCUUAAAAUGUUCUCUAACUCAGUAUCAACUUCCGCGAUUUUAAUUUUACAUAUAUUUAUACUUCGUGAACGAAAGUUAUGUCUCUGGUUGUUAGGGGUUUUUUAAAGGGCAAAACACUCUAUACAAGGAUUUUAUUUUAUUUUCAGGUUCGAAUUCGAGAUCUGCAAAACUACAUGUCAAAGUUAUUUUUGAUGGACUAAAAUAGACUUAUUCCUAAAAUUUAACUUAACAAAAAGGGAAAUAUAAUCAAAUUAUUUCAAAAUUAAGAAAGACAAAUUAAAACCUUUACAUAAUUUGACACAUGGCAAAAUAGCAAAAUAAUUGGCUAAAAUUUUUGUCCCACAAAUAGUCAACUCACCUGUCAGAAAAAUGACAUUCCUAUUUUCUUUUCCUAAUUUUAGUUUGGACACUUUGAAAACAAUUAAAGUAUCUUUGUCCGGUUAUGGCCGUUCAAAGCUUUGAUUAUAACAAGAAAGAUGAUUGAAAAUAUCAGUUUUCUUCGUUUUAAUUUGUUUGUUUUAUUAUUUUUAUAAAAUAUUUUUUAAAUUUUAUUUUAUUUAUCAUACUUUAUACUUUAAUUUGUCUCAAAAAGAAUAAACUUUUUUUUUUUAUAAUUUCAAUGUUUCACGUUCAAGACUAUAACAUUAAAAGAUAUUUUGAUAUGUUUUUUUAAAUAACUUUAAUUUAAUAUUAUAUCAUUGAAAAUUCUUCUUUACUUAUAUUUUUUUUUAAUUUGAAUUUUUAAAUUUCAAUAUUCCAUGCGACAUGUUUAAAACUCAUUUUAAAAGCAUAUGAUUCAAAGAUUUUUUUUUCACUUUCUUAAACUUAUAUCAAGUAGAUAAAAACUAGACAAAUAAAUUAAAACGAAGUCUCACUUUUCAAUACACAUAUUCCAACUUUCAUUGAGUCUCAAGAUAUACUUUUUAAUUUAUUUUUUUCAAGAAUUUACUUGUUGGAACAACCCCACCAGAAGAAAACUCCAAAAAACAGAUUAAAAAUCCCAACUUUGAGUUCUUCUUUCAAUAAUUUUAAGUUUCAGUGAAUCUCAAGAUGUAAUUUUUUUUUUCAAGAAUUCACCUUUUAGGAAAACCCCAUAAGAAGAAAAACUCCAAAAAACAGAUUCAAAAAUCUCACCUUCUUUUUUUUUAGAUCUUUUCAACAUUUUUCAGUUUACUAUCUCACAAAAAUCAUUGAACAAGGAAGAGGGGAUUUAACAAAAAGUGGGAAAAAAAUAGUCAUUUGUUUAGGGUUGUGUUUGGAAUAGCAUUGGACUUGCUAUAAUAGUUGCUUUUGUGAAAUCUGAAAAUGCUAGAUCCAAACAACGUACUGAUCUGGUUAGUCAACUAAAGUCUUUGUUUUUUUUUUUUAAUUAAAUUUUUUGUAUUUUUAGUUUUUUCCAUUUCUGGGUUUUUUUUUUUUUUUUUUUUUGUAUUUAUGUUGUUAUUUGGUUGAAUUGUGAAGGCUAGUGGAAUUGCUGCAUUUGCUAGAAUGACAGUGGAAGAUUCAAGAAAAAUCUUUACACCAGAACAAUACCCUUCUUGGGUUGUUUUCUCAAAUCAACAAAAGGUGAAGUCGUUUAACUUUUCUUUAAGAUGUAUUUGGUAGGACGCAGAGGCGGAGUCAGAAUUUUUAGUUUAUAUAGGUUCUAGAUCACAGUUUUUUUUGCUUUGUUGGGUUUCUGAAAAUUAUGUUGUUCGGACUCUCAAAAAAUGUUGUUUGUACCCGUUUCGGAUUCUCUAAAGUUGCAUUAGUUUGGAGCAUACGACACUCACCCGUCACCAUUUUUGAAGAGUCUUAGCAACAUUGACUGAGAAGAUUAUUUUUACAUCUUAUAACAUUAAUAUAGGGUUAAACCAAAGCUACUGGAUUUUGAUGUACUUGUAGCUAAAGCAAUGUCAUUUAUCAUAAAUCUGUAAACUGACUUAUUUUCUAGAAAAUGUUUUUCGUAAUGGAUUUUUUUUUCUGGGAAAAGACAUUUAAUCGGAUAGUGUUUGGUGAAAAUAUUUGAGUAGUAAAGAUUGAUAAUAAUGUCUAUAUGUUGAGAUAAUUGUUUGUUCCUUUUUGAUGGAAAAUAAGAUAUUACCAAACACACUGUUGAUGUCCUUUUCUGUUUUUGAGCACAUAGUGCCCAUAUAAGAUCAUUGAAAUUAAAUUGUGGUCUUUGGUUGCAAGACUGUCCCUUUAUGGACUUCGUUUAAUAAUUAUCUAGAAUACAUGUUGUGAUUUAGUUUGUUGAGAGCAAACAAGGACCUUUUUAAUUUUUCAAUUUUGUUCGUACAGUUGGCAUGGCUUAAUUCUCAUCUUGAAAAGAUCUGGCCAUAUGUGGAUGAGGUUAGGGGUUCAAUGUCUAUACAUAGUUUGGUUUUCCACUCUAUUGCGAUUCUGCAAUUUUCCAUUUCCCCCCUUUUUUUGGUUCUAAUUUAUGAUUGUUGGAACUUCUUUGUUGCUAAUUGAGUCGGUAUGGGUAUAUAUGGUCAUUCAGGCAGCAUCAGAACUAGUAAAGUCAAGUGUGGAGCCAGUUUUGGAACAAUAUAGGCCUGUGAUUUUGGCGUCGUUAAAAUUUUCAAAGUUCACUCUUGAUACAGUUGCUCCACAAUUCACAGGUUAGUAGAUUAUGGCUGGUGUAACCUGCCUCAAAGCUCUUGUAUAUUGUACUACCUAAAAGUUUUAGGAGUCACUUAUACAUAUGAACAAACUUAUCAGUCCUCUAGGUCUUUAUGGCACGCUUAUGUCUGGAGUAGCGUAACAUUUCCCUGCACGGACACCACCACCAUAAAAAAAAAAAACGGCAUAACAUUUUCCUGCCAUUUAUAGCCUCUUGAGAUGUCAAAAUGUGACAAAUAAUUUGAGACAGGCAAGGGUAUAAAAGAUAUUCAAACCUCAAAGAGCAUUCCUAUCAUCUCGUGUCAGUUAAUCCUUAAUAAAAGAAACUGCUUGUGAGGAUGAAUCUCACUACAUUUAACAAAUGCUUGAUCUCAUGUAUAUGCCACUGCAGGGAUUUCUAUUAUUGAAGAUGGAAGUGAGGGUAUUACUAUGGAAUUAGAGAUGCAAUGGGAUGGNNNNNNNNNNNNNNNNNNNNNNNNNNNNNNNNNNNNNNNNNNNNNNNNNNNNNNNNNNNNNNNNNNNNNNNNNNNNNNNNNNNNNNNNNNNNNNNNNNNNNNNNNNNNNNNNNNNNNNNNNNNNNNNNNNNNNNNNNNNNNNNNNNNNNNNNNNNNNNNNNNNNNNNNNNNNNNNNNNNNNNNNNNNNNNNNNNNNNNNNNNNNNNNNNNNNNNNNNNNNNNNNNNNNNNNNNNNNNNNNNNNNNNUUUCAUCAAAUAACAUCACCAUUGAUGAGGGAAUGAAUAUCACCUUUCUUAGCCUAUCAUCUUUAUUCUUAUCAUCUUGUGAACUGAAGGAUUUUCCACACUUCUUGAGAAAUGUAAAGACACUUGUGUACUUGGAUAUUUCUAACAAUAUGAUUCGUGGUCAAAUUCCUGACUGGUUUAGUGGCAUGAGGUGGGACAACUUGUGGUACCUAAAUAUUUCACAUAAUCUUUUGACAGGUUACCUACCACAACUGCAUUUCCAUAAUCUAGGGUAUCUUGAUCUGAAAUUUAACUCCCUUCUGGGUCCACUACCUUUAUCCAUUUGUAACAUGAGCUCGCUUAUCUUAUUAGAUUUAUCACGCAACAACUUCAGUAACUACAGUUUCGUAUGAGGAUUCAUUGAGUUUGGUAAUCAAAGGGCAGGAUAUUGAGCUACAAAGAAUCAACACAAUUAUGACAACCAUAGAUCUCUCAAGCAACCAUUUUGAAGGUGUCAUUCCGAAAACACUAAAGGAUCUCAGCUCACUUUGGCUACUCAAUUUAUCCCAUAACAAUCUCAUAGGUCAUAUUCCAAUGGAACUAGGGCAAUUGAAUACGCUUGAAGCUUUAGAUCUCUCUUGGAAUUGGCUCACUGGAAAUAUUCUGCAGGAACUGACAAGAAUGAACUUUCUGGCCUUCUUAAACGUCUCUCAAAAUCAUCUUGUCGGACCAAUUCCUCACGGUCUACAGUUCAACACAUUCGAAAAUGAUUCGUAUGGCGGAAACCUUGAUUUAUGUGGUCUUCCUUUAUCAAAGCAAUGUGGAACGAGUGAUUCAUCACAUGUUCCUCAACCAUUGGAGUCCGCAGAAGAAGGCAAGUCAUAUUUUUUUAGUAGUAAUAGGCUACAGUUUUGGACUUGUCAUUGGAACUGUCAUGUGGAGCCUCAUGUUUAAAUAUCGUAAGUCAAAGUGGUUUGUGGAAAUUUUUGAUGGACUCAUGCCUCACAAAAGAAGAAGGCCAAAGAAGAGAGCUCAGAGACGAAGGACUUAAUGGAAGAUUGAGAGGGCUAAAUUGUCUUUGUUUGAUUUUGUGGAC